UACGGAGGGGGCUAGCGUUGUUCGGAAUUACUGGGCGUAAAGGGCGCGUAGGCGGCGCGAUAAGUUGGGCGUGAAAGGCCCGGGCUCAACCCGGGGACUGCGCUUGAUACUGUCGCGCUGUGAGUCCGGGAGAGGAUGGCGGAAUUCCCGGUGUAGCGGUGAAAUGCGCAGAUAUCGGGAAGAACACCCGUGGCGAAGGCGGCUCUCUGGAACGCAACUGACGCUGAGGUGCGAAAGCGUGGGGAGCAAACAGG
rnacentral:rRNA from 1 species